GACGAACGCUGGCGGCGCGCUUAACACAUGCAAGUCGAACGGAAAGGCCUGCUUUCCCUUGUGGAUUGCGGGUACUCGAGUGGCGAACGGGUGAGUAACACGUGAGUGAUCUGCCCCCAACUUGGGUAUAAGCCUGGGAAACUGGGUCUAAUUCCCGAUAGGACUGCAGGGUGGUGCCUGUGGUGGAAAACGAUUUUCUAGUGGUUGGGGAUGAGCUCGCGGCCUAUCAGCUUGUUGGUGGGGUAAUGGCCUACCAAGGCGGCGACGGGUAGCCGGCCUGGGAGGGUGGACGGCCACAUUGGGACUGAGAUACGGCCCAGACGCCUACGGGAGGCAGCAGUGGGGAAUAUUGCACAAGGGGCGGAAGCCUGAUGCAGCGACGCCGCGGGGGGGAUGACGGCCUUCGGGUUGUAAACUCCUUUCGACCGCGAGGAAGCCACCUGGUUGGAAGGGUGGUGACGGUAGUGGUAGAAGAAGCACCGGCUAACUACGUG
rnacentral:rRNA from 1 species